CCGACUAUGAAUUUCUUCAAGCCGACAUCCUCUGCCUUGUACUUUUUGGCCAAGGACUCCCACAAUUCCUUUGCUGUUUUCAUUGAACUAUAAACAUUAUACAAAGUGUUGUCCAAUCCAUUCAGGAUAUAGUUCUUGCAUAGAAAGUCUGACUUAUUCCAUGCUUCAACAACAGCCUCAUCUUCACCAUUCUUGCUUGGAGAAUCCUUAGAGAGAAACUUAGCCAGAUUCAAAGUGGUCAGGUAAAACAACAUUUUCUGUUGCCACCUUUUGAAAUCAAGCCCACUGAAUUUCCCAGGCUUCUCUCCAUGAGUCACAGGCAUUGCACUAGAUGAUGCCAUUUUUUCAGUCACUGAAUUGUACACAAAAUUAUAAGAGUAAGAAAUUUGUACAGUUCAAUGGAACAAAUCUAACUUCACUAUAGGUUAUUAAAAAUAAACUAAAUAUAAUUUAUACUGAUUAACACAAAUCAAACAAGUCCAAUACUGUAUAAACAAUAUUGACUUU
rnacentral:lncRNA from 1 species